UCGCCGCCCGCCUGCGCCGCCUGGGCGAUGAGCUGGAGCAGCGGGCAGCAAGGCGCAAGGCGCGGGGCCGCGGCCCCUCGGCCGGCCGGCGCCUGGCCGCCGUGGUGUGCCUGCUGUGCGCCCUCACGCCCGCGGCCGCGCUGGCCUGGCUGAUCCGCAGGAGGAGCCUCUAGGCGAGAGGGGCGAUGGCCGGAGCGGGGAGCAGGCGGGACGCGCAACAGGCUGGAGGAAAACCCUGUGCCCUUGGAGAAAAUUGUUUCCCCUUUUCCUCCAGGGAAUCCAGAGCCUGAGCAGCAGCCGUGGAGAGUGGAGAUAAAGAAAGAAGUGGAAGAUGUUGGAAGUGCUUUGGGCAACGUGAAGAAGGAUUUGCACGGCAGGAGCUGUUGAAGGGCCCAGCAGCAAACCAGAGACACAUACAUGCUUAUAUAUAGAAGAAUGUAAACCCUCCUGUAUGCAUACGUUAAACGUGCAUGCCUUGUCGAGAACGUGAGCCGCGUUCCUUGUAGAUGAUGGUGGUCUGAGCAGGCCUGCUCCUGCAGUCUGAGUCAAGAGUAGUGAUGUCCUUGCCGUAACGUUGGCGUUUGCUCCGCUGCAGCUGGCGGAUGGCAGCAGGGCAGCAGGAUGGAGCCAGCAGAUGCGCUGCCAGGCGGGCACGGCCUGGCCGCGGGGGCGGGGGCCGGGUGCUGGGCGGCUCGGACAGUUUGUGUGUGUAUAUAUUAACUACGGCACCAGGUGGCCAGAAGCUUCCCCUACGGCUUCUAGUUUCUCUGGUGCUCCAUUUAAUAGUUGUCUGGGGCUAAAGUUGCCUCGCUGUGGUGCUAUACAGGUUCCCCCAAGAGGAUGUUCUGAAACGUGGGGCAAGGAGAAAUCUAUUUUGGUUAAUAAUAUUUAUACACAAGAUACAAAAAGGAAUUCUUGCUGAGAAGGUGCUAUUUUUUUUUUCCUUUCUUCUUUUCAGUCUGUAUUAGUGAAGACAAAACAAAUAACCUAGCCCAGAACCUGACAAAACUCAGUUCUGUUUCUUUUGACAGUUUGGAUCUUGGGAAGCAGCAUUCAUUGGGAUGACAAAGACACUCCAGAUCUUGUCACUGCAGUGCCCCAGCUCUUCUCACUUCAGUGUCCAUCUCAGUCUGUGAGUGCAGAGCCUCCUCUGGCUCCAGGGCUGGGUGUUCUCACAGAUUGCAUUGGGUUGGGAGGGACCCUCAAAGGUCAUCUUGUCCAACCGCCCUGCAGUCAACAGGACACCUCCAGCUAGAGCAGGUUGGAUGGUGAGCGGAAGGAACACUCAGACCUUGUCAGCCGUGGAGGAGAACUGUAUCUAAACCAAUCCACAGACACAGGGAUAAUGAGAGCUUGUCCUUAGAAGUCCAAGGGCUCUUUUUAGUCUGGUUCUGAGCAGUUCCCUUCAGCCAGAGCUACCUGUCAGAUGCAGAGGACUUUCCAGAUGCUAUUUGCAGUCAUCAGUACGCACAGUUUUGUAGAAAGGUUUUUUCCAAGCUUCAGAUACUUGCACCAGAAAAUUGACCCUCUUGUGGCAAGAGGGAAUUUUCCAAGGAAUGUCAAGGACCCAAUUUCCAAAGGAAGUUUGGCUGCUUGGUUUUUAAACAUCUGUCCUAACCCUGGCCCAGCCGUGGAACAAGCCACGCGGGCUGUGUGUCCAUGUCACACCUUGCAGCUCUCUCUCUCCUGCAGGAGAAAUGAUUGUAAGCAGCCUCAAAGCUGAAUUCUGCCUUUUCCAAACAUUCACUGUUGUGUUUUGGGGCCCUGCACACAUAAUCAUGGAUAUUAUUGAUCCAAGUCAACUCACAAACAGCAGAAAAGGGCUGUGCUGAAGAGCAGCUUGUUCCUAAUGAGUAACCUUGCCCUACGUGAUGUUAUGUGCAGUGUGGGGAGGGAUCAUUAGCUCAGUGUAGUUUGUCUGUUGAUAGGGUUGGAAUGGUCUCAGAGCCACAGGGACCAAUAAAAUAUUUUCCUACCA